rnacentral:lncRNA from 1 species
GGGGAAACCAAGAGAUGAUCUGGACCCUCUCGUGUGAUGCUUUUACAGCUCGACCAUCCCCAAGAACAGUGGCACUGGCCAAGCCCAAGAAAGAUUUUGGCAAGCACCAGUGCAGACCCCUCUUCUUGUACAGCUGUGGACGGGAAUCAACAAUCUGGGAGCGUCCCCUGAUAGUGGAUUUUGCCUUCCCUUCUGAUCGGCUGCUGAAGUUGUCUGAACCUAAAAAAUGCUCCGCUGCUUACCUGCGGCAAAGACCUCGCCAGUCCCCCGAGUGGCCUGUGUCACCAGCUGCACGGAGUUAUAAAGCCUCCCCACGGAUCAUGGAGCUUGCCCAGCCAAAGGUGCUGCAUCCAGAGUUCUUGCUGGCCAGAGAGGUGAGG